rnacentral:rRNA from 1 species
GAUGAACGCUGGCGGCGUGCCUAAUACAUGCAAGUCGAGCGGACAGACGAGGAGCUUGCUGCUCUGACGUUAGCGGCGGACGGGUGAGUAACACGUGGAUAACCUCCCUAUAAGACUGGGAUAACUUCGGGAAACCGGCGCAAAUACCGGAUAAUAUAUUGAACCGCGUGGGUCAAUAGUGAAAGACGGUUUUGCUGUCUCUUAUAGAUGGAUCUGCGCCGCAUUAGCUAGUUGGUAAGGUAACGGCUUACCACGGCAACGAUGCGUAGCCGACCGGAGAGGGUGAUCGGCCGCACUGGAGCGGAGACACGGUCCAGACUCCUACGGGAGGCAGCAGUAGGGAAUCUUCCGCAAUGGGCGAGAGCCUGACGGAGCAACGCCGCGUGAGUGAUGAAGGUCUUCGGAUCGUAAAACUCUGUUAUUAGGGAAGAACAAAUGUGUAAGUAACUAUGCACGUCUUGACGGUACCUAAUCAGAAAGCCACGGCUAACUACGUG